rnacentral:rRNA from 1 species
GCUUGCUGGGUGGAUNAGUGGCGAACGGGUGAGUAACACGUGAGCAACCUGCCCCUGACUCUGGGAUAAGCGCUGGAAACGGCGUCUAAUACUGGAUACGAGACGUGAUCGCAUGGUCAACGUUUGGAAAGAUUUUUUGGUUGGGGAUGGGCUCGCGGCCUAUCAGCUUGUUGGUGAGGUAAUGGCUCACCAAGGCGUCGACGGGUAGCCGGCCUGAGAGGGUGACCGGCCACACUGGGACUGAGACACGGCCCAGACUCCUACGGGAGGCAGCAGUGGGGAAUAUUGCACAAUGGGCGGAAGCCUGAUGCAGCAACGCCGCGUGAGGGAUGACGGCCUUCGGGUUGUAAACCUCUUUUAGCAAGGAAGAAGCGAAAGUGACGGUACUUGCAGAAAAAGCGCCGGCUAACUACGUGCCAGCAGCCGCGGUAAUACGUAGGGCGCAAGCGUUAUCCGGAAUUAUUGGGCGUAAAGAGCUCGUAGGCGGUUUGUCGCGUCUGCUGUGAAAUCCCGAGGCUCAACCUCGGGUCUGCAGUGGGUACGGGCAGACUAGAGUGCGGUAGGGGAGAUUGGAAUUCCUGGUGUAGCGGUGGAAUGCGCAGAUAUCAGGAGGAACACCGAUGGCGAAGGCAGAUCUCUGGGCCGUAACUGACGCUGAGGAGCGAAAGGGUGGGGAGCAAACAGGCUUAGAUACCCUGGUAGUCCACCCCGUAAACGUUGGGAACUAGUUGUGGGGUCCUUUCCACGGAUUCCGUGACGCAGCUAACGCAUUAAGUUCCCCGCCUGGGGAGUACGGNCGCAAAGGCUAAAACUCAAAGGAAUUGACGGGGACCCGCACAAGCGGCGGAGCAUGCGGAUUAAUUCGAUGCAACGCGAAGAACCUUACCAAGGCUUGACAUACACGAGAACACCCUANAAAUNGGGACUCUUUGGNCACUCGUGAACNGGUGGUGCAUGGGUNGUCGUCAGCUCGUGUCGUGAGAUGUUGGGNUUAAG